GGGGAAUUUUCCGCAAUGGGCGCAAGCCUGACGGAGCAACGCCGCGUGAGGGAGGAAGGCCUGUGGGUUGUAAACCUCUUUUCUCAAGGAAGAACACAAUGACGGUACUUGAGGAAUCAGCAUCGGCUAACUCCGUGCCAGCAGCCGCGGUAAGACGGAGGAUGCAAGCGUUAUCCGGAAUUAUUGGGCGUAAAGCGUCCGUAGGUGGUUAUAAAAGUCUGUUGUUAAAGCCCACAGCUCAACUGUGGAUCGGCAAUGGAAACUGUAUGACUUGAGUGUGGUAGGGGUAGAGGGAAUUCCUAGUGUAGCGGUGAAAUGCGUAGAUAUUAGGAAGAACACCCGUGGCGAAAGCGCUCUGCUAGGCCGUAACUGACACUGAGGGACGAAAGCUAGGGGAGCGAAUGGGAUUAGAUACCCCAGUAGUC
rnacentral:rRNA from 1 species